rnacentral:sRNA from 1 species
CUGUUCUUCCUACUCAUGUCAACCACUUCAGCAUUGACAAUUGCACGGAAGGUUAAACCGUUACUUGGCCUUAGAAUAGACACCUAUUCCAUAUAUGCAAUAGAAUGUCAUAAAAAAUAAUUAAUGUACGCAUAACUUUUGAAACAGAACCUCUUGUGCAUGGAAUAGAUCGACUCCAUCAAGCUUGGUAAUAACAUCACCAACGUUGAUUCCAGAAUCUGCUGCUGGGGAUCCAUCAAAAACCUAUCGAGUAAAUUUUGAAGUAAAAGCUUCCAUGUAUUUGUUCACGGAUAUCCAGUUUUUCAUGUUUCAGUGAUCCAAUCCUCAGGCCAAGCCAUGGCUGAACAACUCUCCCAAACAUAUCAAAGUGCUUUAAACAUUUCCGAAUUAUAUUGAUUGGUAAGAAAGGAGUUUCCUUCUUAUCACAAAAGUUCAUGCCAACAAAGUUUCCAUCAAACCCAACAAGGGGACCACCAAUCCCAGCCUGUAACAAAAUAAAAUGAUGGUCAUGAGUUCCUUGCAGUCAAGUUUGCUAGGUUUGUACAGCAGUGUCCCACCUGUAGCCAUUAGUUCUCCAGAUUCAUAGCCACGUCCAACAGCGACCAGUUUACUUUGAGAUAAUUUAACAUUAGAUUGCCCUUGAUUAUGUAUCUGUGCUGUACUAAGUUCUGGGAAAUACUUGAUUUUGACAACAGCAAUAUUAUAAUAUAAAUCAUAGUUCCACAGUUUUCCUUCGGUAAGCUUGCCAUUGGGUAGGCGCACCUUAAUCUACAAUUUUUCAUCUGUCUUGUUUUCAUCUUUAGUGCAUCUAACCAAACUAGCGGAAGUCAGAAUGCUCAUUUUAGAUGGUCCAUACUCCAUAAUUGUACCCGUGCAUGCAAACAUGAAUUAUUACCCUUAAACGAAGCAAGUGAGACAACGGACUGAGAUAUUCUUAGAGCAACUAAAUUAACUUUGCUGUAUUCUUCAUUGCAGUCAUCCAAGUCUCCAAAAGAUUCUUCAAAGUUAUUCACCAUGUGCAUACCAUCUAUGAACUCAGAUGGCAUAGGAUAACCACGGGGGAGAAGAUUUCUGCGCAAUAUGCGUGUGAGGCC